rnacentral:rRNA from 1 species
CCUACGGGUGGCAGCAGUGAGGAAUAUUGGUCAAUGGACGAGAGUCUGAACCAGCCAUGUAGCGUGAAGGAUGACUGCCCUAUGGGUUGUAAACUUCUUUUAUAUGGGAAUAAAAUGUUCCACGUGUGGGAUUUUGUAUGUACCAUAUGAAUAAGGAUCGGCUAACUCCGUGCCAGCAGCCGCGGUAAUACGGAGGAUCCGAGCGUUAUCCGGAUUUAUUGGGUUUAAAGGGAGCGUAGGUGGAUUGUUAAGUCAGUUGUGAAAGUUUGCGGCUCAACCGGAAAAUUGCAGUUGAAACUGGCAGUCUUGAGUACAGUAGAGGUGGGCGGAAUGCGUGGUGUAGCGGUGAAAUGCUUAGAUAGCACGAAGAACUCCGAUUGCGAAGGCAGUUCACUGGACUGCAACUGACACUGAGGCUCGAAAGUGUGGGUAUCAAACAGGAUUAGAUACCCCAGUAGUC